GACAACUCUGCUUACAGAGCAGUCACCCUGCAGAGCAAAAGUGAAGAGCAAGAAGCCUGUCACAAAACCUGUGUAGCUGUGUGUGUGCUUUCAGAGAAUAGGAAUGAGGGAGAGGAAGAUAGUCAUGCAUUUUCUCAUUGAAACAAAGACACUCAAUCAUAACCAAGAAGGGAGAGAAUUCAACCCUGCAAUAAUACAGAAUGGGAAGAGCAUAUUUGGA